rnacentral:rRNA from 1 species
CUCAUGGCGGCUGCCUUAACAUGCAGUCGAACGGCAGCACGGAGCUUGCUCUGGUGGCGAGUGGCGAACGGGUGAGUAAUAUAUCGGAACGUACCCUUGGGUGGGGGAUAACGUAGCGAAAGUUACGCUAAUACCGCAUACGAUCUAAGGAUGAUAGUGGGGGGAUUCGCAAAGACCUUCUGGCUCAUGGGAGCGGCCUAUUUCGGAUUAAGCUCCCUCGGCGGGGUAAAAGCGCACCUAGGUAUCCACCAUUAUCUGGUCUGAGAAGGCCUACACACAAGGCGGGAGUGGAAUAGGGUCAUACUCCCUCUGGAGGCAUUUGUGGGGAAAUUUUGAAAAGGGGCACAUUCCUAACCACCAUUGCUUGCAAGGGAAGAAACGGAGUUUUGAAUACCCAUAAUAAUGGCGGUACUCGAAAAUACCCACCGUUUAACUGCUUCCCAGCCGCCGCGGGAUACGUAGGGUUUAACCGUUAUCCCAAUUACUGGGCGUAACCCCCCCAGGGGGUUAUCCCAGACAUUUGUAAAGGCUGAACUUACCCGCGAAACCGCAUUGGGCGCUGCAGCCGCAACACUAAAACACUUGGUAUGGGGCGGACACCAGAUGGGAUAUGAAUCCUCUUUGGCUCAAGACGUAUCCUUAAUGACAGAAAUCGUGGUGGACCAAGGGGGACUGACAUCCCCUGCAGGCCACCCCUAAAACGAAAGUUUACUAAC